rnacentral:rRNA from 1 species
UAAUUGAGAGUUUGAUCCUGGCUCAGGAUAAACGCUGGCGGCGUGCAUAACACAUGCAAGUCGAACGAUGAAACUUAGCUGAUUUCUUCGGAAUGAAAAUAAGUGGAUUAGUGGCGAACGGGUGAGUAACACGUGAGUAACCUGCCUUACACAAGGGGAUAGCCUUUGGAAACGAAGAAUAAUACCCUAUAAAGUUAGUCAAUCGCAUGGUAGACUAACCAAAGAUUUAUCGGUGUAAGAUGGACUUGCGUCUGAUUAGCUAGUUGGUGAGAUAAAAGCCCACCAAGGCGACGAUCAGUAGCCGGCUUGAGAGAGUGUACGGCCACAUUGGGACUGAGACACGGCCCAAACUCCUACGGGAGGCAGCAGUGGGGAAUUUUGCACAAUGGGGGAAACCCUGAUGCAGCGACGCCGCGUGAUUUAGAAGGCCUUCGGGUUGUAAAAAUCUUUUUUAUGGGAUGAAAAUGACAGUACCAUAAGAAUAAGGUCCGGCUAAAUACGUGCCAGCAGCCGCGGUAAUACGUAUGGACCGAGCGUUGUCCGGAAUCAUUGGGCGUAAAGGGUACGUAGGCGGCCUAGUAAGUUAGAAGUGAAAUAAUAUAGCUCAACUAUAUAAAGCUUUUAAAACUGUUAGGCUUGAGAGAUGAAAGGGAAAGUGGAAUUCCUAGUGUAGCGGUGAAAUGCGCAGAUAUUAGGAAGAAUACCGGUGGCGAAGGCGACUUUCUGGUCAUCAUCUGACGCUGAGGUACGAAAGCGUGGGUAGCAAACAGGAUUAGAUACCCUGGUAGUCCACGCUGUAAACGAUGAGUGUUAGGUUCUUGGAAUAAUCUGGGAGCCGCAGCUAACGCAUUAAACACUCCGCCUGGGGAGUACGCACGCAAGUGUGAAACUCAAAGGAAUUGACGGGGACCCGCACAAGCAGCGGAGCAUGUGGUUUAAUUCGACGCAACGCGAAGAACCUUACCAAGUCUUGACAUAAUACGGAGGGA